UUUCAUUUCUGUGCGCCUUAGUUCCUCAUCUACAAAACUAGGGUAAGAAUGAAAUUACUAUUACCCUAUUUCUACUGUUUUCUUUGGGGGAGCUUUGAAAAACCUUUUGAAGAAAGGGCAUUGUGUAAUGUAUGUGGGAGGAAGGCAUGAAGAAGAAGGUGACACACUUCUUUGCCUUGACAUUGGCCUUGGGGAGGGAAGGAGUAUUGUUAUGAGUUACUUAGCUUCUUAUCAGUUUUAAACCUCUGAUCUUCUCACCACCACCAUCUCACACAUACACACACAUCAUGGUAGUUUGAAGACAUGGCCACAAUUCUUUGAUACUCCCCACACUGAGAAUUGGGGAUCUAUGUUCUUUCCCCUUAAAUCUGGCCAGGCUUCUGACUGCUUUGACCAAUAGAGUACUGGUGACGACAGAGUAGAGGUGAUGCCAUGUGAUCUCUGAGCCUAAGUCAUAAAAUACCAUGAAGCUUUUGCUUUGUUUGUGGAACACUCAUUCUUGGAGCUGAGCUGACAGGUAAGAAAUAAACCUCCUCUAAGGCCACCAUGCUAAGAGGAAGACAAAAUAAUAUGGAAAAGCCAUGGAUAGACACUCCAGCUAAUAGUCCCAGCUUAGUCCCGCCUUUGAGUCAUCCCAGCCUUGGUGUCAGACAUAUGUGUGAAGAAGCUUCCAGAUAGCUCCAGCUUCUGGCCAUUCAAGUUACUCUGAGCCAUUCAUGUCUUUCCAGCUGACACCUGAGACAUCAUGAAGCAGACACCUUGCUGUACACUGUCAAAUUCCUGCCCACAGAGUCACUGAACAUGGUAACAGUGGUUGCUUGCACUGCUGCGUUUGGGGUGGUCUGUCACACAGCCAUAGGUAACUAGAGCACAUCUCUUCCCUGAUCCCUGUCAGAUACCAGCAGAAAUGCAGGGUGAAUGGUUCAAGGACCAAUUUAAACAGGUAGUCUAAGUGAUGUUGAAUGAGGGGCGUGUUUCCCAGUGAAGGCUUCAUAAAGGGAUAUCUAACACUGCUGAGACAUCCCAACUUCCUGAAUAUAAAUCCAGGAGCUCUUGAAUGGGGUCCCCCCAUGAGCUGCUGUGGGCAACUCCCUUUGACACUCGUGGGGAGCGAGGCUAUUGAAGUCAGCCCUCGUGUUGCUCUACUAGCCAGCCCACUGUGCACUGUUCCCUUCUGUCCUCCCUCACUCCCUUCUCUUUUCCCUCCAUCUUUCCUCUUUUAUUGAGUGCCCAUUACAUGCCACACAUUAUUUUAGGUUCCGGGGUGUCAAAGCUGAGUGUAUAUUAACCACGUCUCUUAUUGUCUGUGUGCUGAUGCUUUGACACCUGGGGCCCUGCUGACUCUGGAGGGGCCGCCCCUCCCAGGGCCAGCUACUUCCCAGAGCAGUAAACACCUUGUUGGCUAGUGCACUUCUCAGGUAUAAACCCCCACCCUAAACACCUCCUUUAAGGAGCGCUUGCACUCUGGGCCACUAUCCUCCAGCCCUAAUCACCCCAAGGCCAGUUACCAGACAACCAGGGACAGCCCCUAUACCCCAGAGACCACCCACAUUAUUCAGCCUAGCCAGUCCUAAGCCUGAUUUGCCUCCCUCCCUCGUUCCUUCCUGAGGAACCCGUAAUAAAAUCUCUUGCCCAGUCUCCCCGCCCCCAGUGCUUCCCCACGUGGCCCCCAUAGUGUCGUGUGCCCUGCUUGGCAGCUGAGUAACUAGCCUUUCAAUGGCAAUUGACUCCUUGUCUAUUGGCCUUACCAUGCCUCAAAUUUUCUCUUCAUAUACUAAAUUUUAAGAUACAAUGACACCCAGUCCCUGCCCUAAAGGAACUUAAAAGUUAGUGGUAGUGGGAGCCUUAGCCCAGUAGGGCUGGCAGCAUUCUGUUUCGUGCUGUGCGCACUGCUUAACGCAAGUGUGGUCACCUGUGAAAUCUCCGCCAUCACGCACGUCUGCGCACUUCUCUGUGGGCACACUGUACUUCAAUGAACAUCUGAUUAAAAAAACAAAACGUAAGAUAAUGGUAGCUUGAAAUCUGCCCAUUAAAGCAGUCUCAUAAGCCAAACAAGUAUCCUUGGUUUCUCACAGCAGAAUUGUUGGCUGAUGACAGAGUGAUCUGUGAUGAGAUCGCUAUCAGUCCUGCCUCAUGUCACUCAUUAUCCUGACGUGUGUGCACCUCGGCUCAGAAAAGACUUACUUUCCAUUUUGUAUUAUUUACAGGCGGUUUCCAGUCAAUUUCUCUUCUUCCUCUUAGGCAUCUGGAAAGAAGAGGCAAUAGGAUUAAAGAGAUCGAGCAUACGUCCUUAAACCAACUCUUAGUUUUUCUUGUCAUCUGUUGGUUUUUCCAUUUAAAUUUGUCAGAAUUUAACUUCUGACCAAUUAAGUAAAGAUCGUUUCAGUGCAGUAAUCCUGCACACGUGCUCCCUUACAGAAGGAAAUCUGAUCAUUUUUCAGAGUGGAGCGGGAGAAAAUUAAUGUAGCAAAGGUUUGUUCUUGGCUUGGAACUCUCCUGGCCCUCAGGGCUAGGAGGAAGCAAACACAAAUCCCAGGAUGAACAGAGCUUACGUCGGUGCUGUCCUCGGUGUACACACAGCAGAGGCAAGCCCGUCAUUGGUUCACUGGGCCUCCGAGGCUCUCUACCCUGUGCACUGGCUAAGAGACUUGCUCAGAUGUGCUCAGCCAGUAGUGGCAGAUGGGACUGGACUUAUGUCUUCUGGCUCUAAGUCAGGAUCCAUCCACCAUUCGCUGGGAGACAUGACUGAUCAGAGACGAGCACACACAUGUAGAGGGGGCAUUCUAUGGUAACCAGAAAGUCUGAUCUGGGGAACUUGGGUUUCUCUACCCCAGUGUUUUGUUACUAUAAAGUCCCUCUUACAAAAGAGUUUUGAUGUUGCCAGGGGGUCUACACUACCCAUGCUCAGAAGCAAUGUCAUCUGAAAAUCCUAUUCCUUUGUCCCUAGUCCCCUGUAGAAGAGCUGUUAAACCUAGGACACUGUGACACUCUGUCCAGGUGUCCUUGUGUCCACUCAGGUAAGCCCUCAGAUAUAUCUUAAAUCUCCCCCGAAUUAUUCUGAAUCUGAGACCUUGACGAAUUUCUCCUAAAUGACUAUGAAGAGAUUUCUGUUGCUUGAAAGAGAGGAACUCCGCUUCUUGGAGGGAAGCCAGGCCCGGGGCCGGGUGGGGUGCAUGGAGGGGAGAGGAGAGGGCAGUCAGCAGGCCUGGAUGAGGUCUCCUGGCUCUCCAGCAUGCACCUUACCCGUGGCCAACAGGGUUUACCCAUUUGCUUUUCACCUUACCUUGAACUUCCAGUGCCCUUUGGAUGAGGAAAGGUCCAGUGGGACUUGAGCGAUGGGUCUGGAAGGGCACACAAGCAGGGGGAGAUGCAGCAGGUUAGAAGCCCUCCUCUCUGGCGUGGGGCUCUGCUUUGAGCUGGAAGCUGACCCGGGGUAGCCCCGGAACUGGGGAAGCAGAGACCUGAGGACGAGAGAUGCGUAUUCAGGUCUCUGCCGUGCCACCUGCCUCAUCUGGGAACUGGCUUACUACUACAGCCUGGGCCGCCCAAUCCACAGAGGGUUGUACAGAGGCAAGGAUGAGCUGGGAAUGGCCUGUGCAAAGACUGUCAGUCGAGUACAGAUAAAUCAGUGUGAGCAAAGGUGAUCGCGGUGAUGGUGAUUUCAGCCACCAGCCAGAUGUGAGGGACAAAAAGCACCAGCAGACCAUGUGCACAAAAACGUUGCAGAGAGGAGGGCUGGGAGCCACGGCACCUCCAGCCUGGCACAGCUGCCAGCACUUGGUCUUGCGCAGGGCUCCAGUGCCAGGGGCCAGGGCUGGAAUCGGUUCGAGGCAGGAAUGUGUGCCCUACUCCCUUCUUUCUCCUUCCCCUAGAAUCACCUAAACUCUUCAGUUUGGAAUAGAAUAAGGAAAGCUCCUCACGGGGAAAGUUUUGUGGGCUCGACCCUAUUAAUUUUAUAUUUAGAAUUCCAUCCAUUCGUUACUUUACUAUAUUUCACAGUUAUUUAAGUGUACAAGGUUCUUUCACAAACACCACAUCAGUAAUCCUGUAUUAUCCCCAUUUUACUGGUGAAGAAACCGAGGCUGAGAUCAGCUGAAUGAAUGAUCAUCACACUGCUAGAAACUUGAGGCAACUGGUUUCUGACUUCAAGUCCUGUGUUCCUGUAAACCCUCUUCAGUGAACUACAGACCUAAAUGAAGGUGGGAGGGAGGGGAGAGAUGGGGGAAGGGAGGAGAGAGGGGGGAGAUUAGAAAGGGAAGGGGGGAGGGAGGGAAGGAGGGGAGCAGAGAAGUACAGAAGGAGGAAAGGGAAAAAGCAAAGGAAAGAAAAAAGUCAUUCGAGAAAGAGAGCAGCGUUCACACAAUACACACCGCAAGAGUAAGAUUCAGUCUGUGGGCAGGCAGGCCCACUGUGCCCACGAAUCGUCACACGCGGACCCGCCGCUCUACCCCCAUCCCAUCCCGCUGCGGGUCCAAGCACCGCAGCCCCAUACGUUUCGACCCUUCUCGGCACGGUUGCUCUCUAAUUCAUGGCGCAGAGUCUCCAUUGAUGAGCCUCGGCCAGCAACUGGCCGCGGUCCAGGGCCCAGCGCUGGCCAGGCAGGUGUUGGGGAUGCCUCGGAGGACGCCAGCACUGACCCUCUCGCUCAGGCCUCCGAGCCCCGGGCUUUGGGGACACUUGAGGUCUAUGCGGAGCUCGGCGGACUGAAGGUCGCAGUGACCCAGCAUCCCUGAGCGCCGCCCGCACCAGGGCUCGCUUGCAUAAAGUUGCCCAGGUGAAUCAGUGCAAGUGAGUGAAGAAAUAAAGGAAUGGAGCGAGAGAGAGAGCCCGGUUCCCUUGUGCACACAGCUCACAUGCUCGGGGCGAAGCCCGUGCUGGCGAUGUGGAGUUUAACACCCAGGUGCUGCACAACCCAGGCUCACGCGCGCUCUCCGGACGAAAUGCAAGACAUUAUUAUUGGAGACAACAAUCACAACAUGUAUUCUCUUUGUCCCCGCCCCCGCUGUUUUCUCCAUCUUUGCUGUCGGACUCUGGAAUCCAACUGGACCGCUCUGCGCUCCCCGGCGCCCGCGCAGCUUCCUAACCUGGCGCCUGGGGGCGGCCCCACAGCGCGCACGCUCUGUUCCGGAACCGCUCACGGAGGGCGCCAGGGGCUGCGAGCCGGGAAGGGGACGCCCACGGCCGGCAAGGGGGCGCUGUCCCCAGAGGCCUCUGACCCUGCGGAGCAUCGUCCCGCCCUGGAGCGACGGAUUGGGAGAGGAGGCCUGAGUCACGCACGGAGUAACCCACCACUGAAGACAGGAUUCCACACUCGGGAGAAGCUGGC